GAUGAACGCUGGCGGCGUACCUAACACAUGCAAGUCGAGCGAUUCUCUUCGGAGAAGAGCGGCGGACGGGUGAGUAACGCGUGAGUAACCUGCCCUGUACACACGGAUAACAUACCGAAAGGUAUGCUAAUACGAGAUAAUAUACUUUUGUCGCAUGGUAGAAGUAUCAAAGCUCCGGCGGUACAGGAUGGACCCGCGUCUGAUUAGCUAGUUGGUAAGGUAACGGCUUACCAAGGCGACGAUCAGUAGCCGACCUGAGAGGGUGAUCGGCCACAUUGGAACUGAGACACGGUCCAAACUCCUACGGGAGGCAGCAGUGGGGAAUAUUGCACAAUGGGCGAAAGCCUGAUGCAGCAACGCCGCGUGAGUGAUGAAGGCCUUCGGGUCGUAAAGCUCUGUCCUCAAGGAAGAUAAUGACGGUACUUGAGGAGGAAGCCCCGGCUAACUACGUGCCAGCAGCCGCCGUAA
rnacentral:rRNA from 1 species